rnacentral:rRNA from 1 species
UACAGAGGUCUCAAGCGUUGUUCGGAUUCAUUGGGCGUAAAGGGUGCGUAGGCGGCGCGGUAAGUCGGGUGUGAAAUCUCGGAGCUUAACUCCGAAACUGCAUUCGAUACUGCCGUGCUUGAGGACUGGAGAGGAGACUGGAAUUUACGGUGUAGCGGUGAAAUGCGUAGAUAUCGGGAAGAACACCCGUGGCGAAGGCGGCUCUCUGGGACGGUACUGACGCUGAGACGCGAAAGCGUGGGUAGCAAACAGG